rnacentral:rRNA from 1 species
UACGUAGGGGGCUAGCGUUGUCCGGAAUCAUUGGGCGUAAAGAGCGCGUAGGCGGCCAGAUAAGUCCGGUGUGAAAGUCACAGGCUCAACCUGUGAAUGCCGCUGGAAACUGUCUGGCUAGAGUCCGGAAGGGCGAGUGGAAUUCCUGGUGUAGCGGUGAAAUGCGCAGAUAUCAGGAGGAACACCAAUGGCGAAGGCAGCUCGCUGGGACGGUACUGACGCUGAGGCGCGAAAGCGUGGGGGAGCAAACAGG